rnacentral:rRNA from 2 species
AAAUUGAAGAGUUUGAUCAUGGCUCAGAUUGAACGCUGGCGGCAGGCCUAACACAUGCAAGUCGAACGGUAACAGGAAACAGCUUGCUGUUUCGCUGACGAGUGGCGGACGGGUGAGUAAUGUCUGGGAAACUGCCUGAUGGAGGGGGAUAACUACUGGAAACGGUAGCUAAUACCGCAUAACGUCGCAAGACCAAAGAGGGGGACCU